GACGAACGCUGGCGGCGUGCUUAACACAUGCAAGUCGAACGGUAAGGCCCCAGCUUGCUGGGGUACACGAGUGGCGAACGGGUGAGUAACACGUGGGUGACCUGCCCCGCACUUCGGGAUAAGCCUGGGAAACUGGGUCUAAUACCGGAUAGGACCGCACCGUGAGGGUGUGGUGGAAAGUUUUUCGGUGUGGGAUGGGCCCGCGGCCUAUCAGCUUGUUGGUGGGGUAAUGGCCUACCAAGGCGGCGACGGGUAGCCGGCCUGAGAGGGUGGACGGCCACAUUGGGACUGAGACACGGCCCAGACUCCUACGGGAGGCGGCAGUGGGGAAUAUUGCACAAUGGGCGGAAGCCUGAUGCAGCGACGCCGCGUGGGGGAUGACGGCCUUCGGGUUGUAAACUCCUUUCACCAUCGACGAAGGUUUUCUGACGGUAGAUGGAGAAGAAGCACCGGCUAACUACGUG
rnacentral:rRNA from 1 species